rnacentral:lncRNA from 1 species
CAGCUGGACUCAGUUUAGAUGAUCCCAAUUUUGUGGGCAACAUCCAAAGCAUCAUAGUCAGGAGCCAGUCGAACAUAUGCUUUCUUUUCUCCACCGGGCCUGAUCAGAGUGUUGACCUUGGCCACGUCAAUGUCAUAGAGCUUCUUCACAGCCUGUUUGAUCUGGUGCAUGUUGGCCUUGACAUCCACAAUGAACACAAGAGUGUUGUUGUCUUCUAUUUUCUUCAUGGCUGACUUGGUAGUCAGGGGGAACUUGAUGAUGGCACAGUGGUCAAGCUUGUUUCUCCUGGGGGUGCUCUUUCAAGGAUAUUUGGGCUGCCUUCAGAGACACAGUAUCUUGGGCCAUUGGAAUGUAGGUGACGUGCAGAUCUUUUUUUUUAUAACUGUGGAUGCCUUUCAGCACUGCUUUCUUGGACUUCAAAGCCUUUGCUUUGGCUUUGGCUUUGGCUUUGGGAGGGGCAGGGGCUUCCUUCUUCACCUUUGGCGCCAUCUUCGUGAAAGGGUUC